CUAAAAAGUUCUAAAAGCACAAAGAUUUGGUCCUGGUCUUAUUGUCAGUUAUCUCUUGAUUUACACAUGCAAGUCUCAGCACACCAGUGAGGACGCCCUUACCCCUUCUAUAGGACAAGGAGCUGAUAUCAGGCACUUCCACCGCCCAUAACAUCUAGUCCGACCACACCCCCAAGGGUAUUCAGCAGUGAUAAACAUUGUUUAUAAGCGACAGCUUGACUCAGUCAAAGAGAAGAGGGCCGGCCAACCCGGUGCCAGCCGCCGCGGCUAAACCCUAGGGCCCAAAUUGAUAAUACUCGGCGUCAAUCGUGAUUAAAGCUUUCUAGAAUUAGAGUAGAACCUAUUAUUAAGCUGUGAAAAGCAAUUUUUUUAGGGAAAAUCAGAAACGAAAGUUACUCUAAUACACACUUGAACACACGACAACUGGGAAACAAACUGGGAUUA
rnacentral:rRNA from 1 species